rnacentral:lncRNA from 1 species
UCACACCAUUAAAAGGGAUAUGAUAUGAAGAAUAGCAAGCAGGAGCUGCGAAAUGAAAGCAACCUAGUUGUAGAGAUCAGGAUUUGCCAAGAGGUAAGCUUCAACAGCCUUGUACAUUCCGGAGGCCCUUUCUUUGCCAGCCUUAAUUUGCUCUUCAUUGAUCUCAAUGUCACCAAUGGUAUAAUACUUGCUGGUGCUCUUGCAAAUUGAUCCUCCAUCUGGUGCUGCCACAAACUUGGUCUCAUAACUGAUUUUCUCAAGUGUGUUCACGAAAGCAUCUCCUUCGAUCACACUAUAACUGUAUGAGAAGUUCUCCUUGUCUAUUCCUUCAACCUUUUGUUUCGCAUACUUGAAUUGGCUGCCUACAAUUGUUACCAAGCAAAAAUCUUACAUACUAUUGUAUUUCUCAAAAUUAGAAAAUGGAAAGGAAUUCAUGUGGCAAGAAAUGAAAACUAACCUUCACCAAAAGUAAUCUUCUUGAUACUUCCAGGCCCACCAUCUCCUUCAACAAGCUCAGAACUCUUGAUUGCUUGUGGCACAACCUUGGGGAAAAGAUUGUCACCGUCAAGAACAAAGGCCUUGAACAUUUGGCUGGGGGGAUUGAGGUAGCUACCUCCAUUUCAUACGUGACAACACCCAUGAUUCUACAAUAGGAGUUUGAAAAUGUUCAAAUUUGAGGAAGAUAAAACAGAGAGAAAAAGAGGAUGAUUAACUGAGUAUUUUGAGAUGUGGGAAGAAGCGAGAACUAAGAUGGUAUUUAUAGUUGCUAUACUUUCAAAGAAUUUGCAGUGGUCAAGAAAAGCACCCUGCAUGAGAAUUUCCAUGGUAAACGGCUAAUUGAUCAUUUUAAAAUGUUGUACCAACCUAUAGGAGCAAAAAAAAAAAAAAAAUCAUUUGACCAUUUUGUUAAUAGAUGGUGCCAUGGGGCCUUUUGGCAUGUAUACAGUCUGCAAAAUUUCAAUAUAAUAACAGCAAAGUGGAUUUCAGAAGGCAGCAACAAUUUGACAAAAUUAAGUUGUGAAGAUGAAGGCGCCUUUGGUUGACUAACGACUUAAUUAUCGUAAGUGAGAAAAUAAAGACCAAAAGAUAUAAAUAACUAAAUAUAUUUUUUUUUUAUCAAAUUAAAGCUUGAGAAGACUUGGUGGACUAUCUAGAAAGCAAGUAGCGGAAGAAGUAAUAGUUAUUUGGAAUCCAUGUACCCAUGACUUUUUUAAAAUAUACGAAAAUAAAAUAUAAUAAAAUUUAUUUUUAUUUAACAUAUUUAAAUAUUUUUUAUAAAUAUAUCUUUUUUAAAUAUAAAUAUAUUAAUUUUCAUAAAUCUAAAAUAAAAUUUAUAUUAUUAAAUAAAACAUUAAUUUAUUAAAUAUAUAUAAAUUACAAUAACAAAAUCCAUAUUAUAUUAUCCAUCUUUAUACCCGUAUUCGAUAAAAAAAUUUAAAUCAUAUACAUUUUUAUCCCUUCCUUAAAAUUUAAUAUCCAUCCCAUCUCAAUACCAUAAAAAAUCUUAUUCCUAUUGAAUUUAAAGAAGAUUUGACAUCCCUGUUUACCUCCAAUUAAGUUUUUAUAACCUUGAACUUCACUGUUGGGUAUUCGGAACAUCUUGAUUACUACCAUUUCUCAUUGGUUGGAUGAAUUAUGGCUAUUUUUUGUACUUGGGUUUUCUGCACAUGAGCCAUAAGUGAACCGCCAGACGACCCUGCUUUGAAACUUCUCUUUAUCUACAUGUUUGGCUAUUCUUGGAGUUUGAAAUUUUCCCAAUGUUAUAUCAUUUCAUCAAAAAAAUAAAAUAAAAUAAAAUUUCUCUAUACUAUCUGAUGUCACUAUGUCAGCAUCCUUUUGGAAAAUGGUAGUGGCAUUCAUCAUAUCAAUUACCCAAAAUUUUACCAUAAACCCUUUUCUUUAAAAACGUGGGGAAGCCUUUGUGGAUUUAAAUUUCCAUAAUAAUUUGUCUUCCAGGUUGCAUCAAGGAAUAUGUGUCAGAAUAAGUUUCAUAUUUCUUCUGAAACUUGACUUUGUUAUGUUCAAUAUAUAAUUAGUAAAUCUUGAAAGAUGAAGAUGCUGGACUCAUCAUUUUCAAUGGAUGGCCUGAUCUCACAACAAUUUAUUAAUGCAGUUGACAUUUACAGUUCAAGCUUGCAGGUAAUCUCAGACAAACUAUGAACUCUUAUUAGCAAUCUGAAGGCCAUAUCAUAUGGACUGACAGACAACUGCAAAAACUAAAAAAGUAAAAAAGAAAAGGCAAUUCUCUCUCACUCAAAGCGCACAUAUGUUCCACACUGUCUGAUCAUUGAAGUGGAUGCUAUUUCAAUAAUGGGAUUUUUAAUAGGCAUCUGGAUUUGCUAGGAGGUAGGCUUCUAUAGCUUUGAACAAUCCCAAAGCCUUUUCUUUGCCUGCCUUGAUUGCCUCUUCCUUGAGCUCAAAGUCAUCAAUGGUGUAAUACUUACUAGUAGUCUUACACACGGAUCCCCCAGCUGCAGAGAGCUUUAACUUUGUCUCAUAAGUGAUUUUCUCAAGUUUGUUCAUCAAAGCAUCGCCUUCGAUCACGCUGUAACGACACACAAAAUUUUCUUUGUCUAAUGCUUCUACCUUCUGCUUCACGUAAUUGAAUUGGCUUCCUAAGAAUGGAAAGACAAAUAUUAAAAUGGAGCUGCAUAUCUAAGUUCCAAUUCAAUAUAUUAUUCAAAGUAUUUAGUUGCAUCUAUAAAUUAAUUGACUAACCUUCUUCAAAAGUAACUUUCUUGAUGCUCCCAGGCUCACCAUUGCCUUCAAUGUACUCAACACUCUUAAAAGCCUGAGGAACAAUCUUAGGAAUGAGCUUGUCACCAUCAAGGAUACAAGCCUUAAACAUCUUGGCUGGUGGGAUUGUAGUAACAAUCUCAGAUUCAUAAGUGAAAACUCCCAUGAUCACCGAGUGACUUGGAAAUGAUCGAAGAAUGAAAAUAGAAUUGAUUGCUUAUUUUGCAGAGAAUUUUUAGGUGUGGAGAUGUGAACCCGAAGCUGCAUUAUUUAUAGAGUGAGAUUAAAGAACAGCUUUUCUAGGUGAUUGCUUCAUAUUAUAUUGGAUGGUUUCAGUUUGGCGAUGUAAUCAUUAGUUUUCAAUUGACAGUUGAUUCUGGUUUGUGCAUUCUUCGAUCAAGAACAAAUUUAUGGAUCUUGAAAGCAGUCAAUAUCAGAAGAAGAUUAAAAAUAAAGAACUCUAAUAUUUUAAGCAUGGAAGACAUUGAAUCAAGUGCUUCAACUGUUAGGAACUCGUAACUAUGUGGUAAAUUGUAAUUGGAAAUGGAAUGACUAACUUAUAUAAGGGUUUUGAAGUUAGAUUCACUUGCAGCUUUUAGCCACAGGUGAACCAAAGACCCUGCUUCAUGGCUUAUUUCUGCUCUCACUGUUCACAUGUUUUUAUUGUUUAUCAGCUGUCAUAGAUAGUCGUGGACUUGGUCCCACAGCCCAUAUCAAGUUAUUAGCCUGGUUCACCUCAAAAGAUUUAUGACAAAAGAAAAAGAAAUUGCAAAUAAUAAAAGCUUGAUUACUAUAUUUUUUUCAUUUCAUAUAUCAAAGAUAAUACAACUCAAACACCUUAAUUAUAUAAUAAAAAUAGAGAUGAUCACAGCCAGAGACCAUCAUUCUUAUUAGCCAUUGAAGGAAAGUUUGUCAAAAAGCAAAAAAGAAAAAUCAAAUUCACACCAUUAAAAGGGAGAUGAUAUGAAGAAUAGCAAGCAGGAGCUGUGAAAUGAAAGCAACCUAGUUGUAGAGAUCAGGAUUUGCCAAGAGGUAAGCUUCAACAGCCUUAUACAUUCCGGACGCCCUUUCUUUGCCAGCCUUAAUUUGCUCUUCAUUGAUCUCAAUUUCACCAAUGGUGUAAUACUUGCUGGUGCUCUUGCAAAUUGAUCCUCCAUCUGGUGCUGCCACAAACUUGGUCUCAUAACUGAUUUUCUCAAGUGUGUUCAUCAAAGCAUCUCCUUCGAUCACACUAUAACUGUAUGAGAAGUUCUCCUUGUCUAUUCCUUCAACCUUUUGUUUCACAUACUUGAAUUGGCUGCCUACAUUUGUUACCAAGCAAAAAUCUUACAUACUAUUAUAUUUCUCAAAAUUAGAAAAUGGAAAGGAAUUCAUGUGGCAAGAAAUGGAAACUAACCUUCACCAAAAGUAAUCUUCUUGAUACUUCCGGGCCCACCAUCUCCUUCAACAAGCUCAGAACUCUUGAUUGCUUGUGGCACAACCUUGGGGAAAAGAUUGUCACCGUCAAGAACAAAGGCCUUGAACAUCUUGGCUGGGGGGAUUGAGGUAGCUACCUCCAUUUCAUACGUGACAACACCCAUGAUUCUACAAUAGGAGUUUGAAAAUGUUCAAAUUGGAGGAAGAUAAAAACAGAGAGAAAAAGAGGAUGAUUAACUGAGUAUUUUGAGAUGUGGGAAGAAGCGAGAACUAAGAUGGUAUUUAUAGUUGCUGUACUUUCAAAGAAUUUGCAGUGGUCAAAAAAAGCACCCUGCAUGAGAAUUUCCAUGGUAAAUGGCUAAUUGAUCAUUUUAAAAUGUUGUACCAACCUAUAGGAGCAAAAAAAAAAAAUCAUUUGACCAUUUUGUUAAUAGAUGGUGCCAUGGGGCCUUUUGGCAUGUAUACGGACUGCAAAAUUUCAAUAUAAUAACAGCAAAGUGGAUUUCAGAAGGCAGCAACAAUUUGACAAAAUUAAGUUGUGAAGAUGAAGGCGCCUUUGGUUGACUAACGACUUAAUUAUCGUAAGUGAGAAAAGAAAGACCAAAAGAUAUAAAAAAAUAAAUAUAAUAUUAUAUAUAUAUUUAUUCUAUCAAAUUAAAGCUCGAGAAGACUUGGUGGACUAUCUAGAAAGCAAGUGAAAGAAGUAAUAGGUAUUUGGAAUACAUGUACCCGUGACUUUUUUAAAAUAUACGAAAAUAAAAUAAAAAUUUUUUUAUUUUUAUUUUGCAUAUUUAAAUAUUUUUUAUAAAUAUAUCUUUUUUAAACAUAAAUACAUUAAUUUUAAUAAAUCUAAAAUAAAUUUUAUAUUAUUAAAUAAAAAAAUUAGUUUAUUAAAUAUAUAUAAAUUACAAGUAUAAAAUCAAUAUUAUAUUAUCCAUCUUUAUACCCGUAUUCGAUAAAAAAAUUUAAAUCAUAUACAUUCUUAUCCCUUCCUUAAAAUUUAAUAUCUUGAAUUUAAAGAAGAUUUGACAUCCCUUUUUACCUCCAAUUAAAUUUUUAUAACCUUGAACUUCACUGUUGGGUAUUCGGAACAUCUUGAUUACUACCAUUUCUCAUUGGUUGGAUGAAUUAUGGCUAUUUUUUGUACUUGGGUUUUCUGCACAUGAGCCAUAAGUGAACUGCCAGACGACCCUGCUUUGAAACUUCUCUUUAUCUACAUGUUUGGCAAUUCUUGGAAUUUGAAAUUUUCCCAAUGUUAUAUCAUUUCAUCAAAAAAAUAAAAUAAAAUAAAAUUUCUCUAUACUAUCUGAUGUCACUAUGUCAGCAUCCUUUUGGAAAAUGGUAGUGGCAUUCAUCAUAUCAAUUACCCAAAAUUUUACUAUAAACCCUUUUCUUUAAAAACGUGGGGAAGCCUUUGUGGAUUUAAAUUUCCAUAAUAAUUUGUCUUCCAGGUUGCAUCAAGGACUAUGUGUCAGAAUAAGUUUCAUAUUUCUUCUGAAACUUGACUUUGUUAUGUUCAAUAUAUAAUUAGUAAAUCUUGAAAGACGAAGAUGCUGGACUCAUCAUUUUCAAUGGAUGGCUUGAUCUCACAACAAUUUAUUAAUGCAGUUGACAUUUACAGUUCAAGCUUGCAGGUAAUCUCAGACAAACUAUGAACUCUUACUAGCAAUCUGAAGGCCAUAUCAUAUGGACUGACUAACAACUACAAAAAAAAAAAAUGUAAAAAAGAAAAGGCAAUUCUCUCUCACUCAAAGCACACAUAUGUUCCACACUGUCUGAUCAUUGAAGUGGAUGCUAUUUCAAUAAUGGGAUUUUUAAUAGGCAUCUGGAUUUGCUAGGAGGUAGGCUUCAAUAGCUUUGAACAAUCCCAAAGCCUUUUCUUUGCCUGCCUUGAUUCCCUCUUCCUUGAUCUCAAAGUCACCAAUGGUGUAAUAUUUACUAGUAGUCUUACACACGGAUCCCCCAGCUGCAGAGGGCUCUAACUUAUAAAAGGGUUUUGAAGUUAGAUUCACUUGCAGCUUUUAGCCACACGUGAAUCAAAGACCCUGCUUCAUUGCAUACUUUCACUGUUCACAUGUGCAUAUUGUUUAUCAGCUCUCAUAGACAGUUGUGGACUUGGUCUCACAGCUGAUAUCAAGUUAUUAGGUGGAAAUUUUAGGCAACAAAUGUCAAAUUCUUUAUCUGACUUUAGGUUCAGAUCUUGGAAAUAGAAGGGAUUUGGAUUUCGUCAUCAAUCCUGAUUCAGGUCAAAAAAUUUAUGACAAAAAAAAAAAGAAAUUACAAAUAAUAAAAGCUUGAUUACCAUAUAUUUUUCAUUUCAUAUAUCAAAUAUGAUACAACUCAAACUUCUUAAUUAUGUAAUGAAAACACAGAUGAUCACGGCAAGAGACCACCACUCUUAUUAGCCAUUGAAGGAAAGUUUGGCAAAAAGCAAACAAGAAAAAUCAAAAUCACACCAUUAAAAGGGAUAUGAUAUGAAGAACAGCAAGCAGGAGCUGUGAAAUGAAAGCAACCUAGUUGUAGAGAUCAGGAUUUGCCAAGAGGUAAGCUUCAACAGCCUUGUACAUUCCUGACGCCCUUUCUUUGCCAGCCUUAAUUUGCUCUCUUUCAUUGAUCUCAAUGUCACCAAUGGUAUUAAUACUUGCUGGUGCUCUUGCAAAUUGAUCCUCCAUCCUGGUGCUGCCACAAACUUGGUCUCAUAACUGAUUUUCUCAAGUGUGU